CUUAAUUGGUGGCAGGACAGAUUUGCUACAGAGGCAGUAUUUCGACACUCUUUGAACUAGAAGUCACAUUUGGGCAUUUUCAAAGGCUUAAAGGAAGGCCUGUGUGACCAGAAUAAAGGUUAGAGAGGAGGAAGGAGCUGAGGCUGGAGAGUACAAUUAUGAAUUGAGCAAGACCUGUAAUAAAACAACAAACACAUAGAGCAAAAGCCCUGCACUGCUGAGUCAGUUAAGCCUCACAACUCACUUCCAAGAGUGAAGACCUUAAUGGAGGCAAAGCUUAAGACAAGCAUGAGCACCAAUGACAAAGAAGUAGAAACAGAACUCUUUUUAGCGUACAAAAUUUUCUAAGUCCGACGUAAAAAGAAAGCAGACCUACAGGAUGUCAAAGGUCCUGAGAGGUUGAAGAAAGUACAAGAUAAACCUGACCUUGGAGCCAUCAGGCUGGCGCUCAAAUCUAGCACUCCCACUAACCAACUGUGUGCCUUGUAAGAAAUGGCUUAACCAGCGUCUCAAUUUCUUCACUAACAAGUUAGAAUAAUAAGCCCUUUGACCUGCUCCCUAUGAUGGUUGUGAAAAUCAUGUGGGAUAAGAUAUGUGAUGAUGCUUUGUAUGGAAGGAUAACAUGGUGAUAAAGUUUGUUUUCCUGCUGGAACUCCUUACCGCAGCAUAUAUGCAUCUUCCCUUCUACUCAGGAAGUGGGUAGGAUUUUGAGUCUUGUAGUGACUCAAGAUUUCUCUUCAGCGUAGGUUGGAAGAGAUACAC